rnacentral:rRNA from 1 species
GAUGAACGCUGGCGGCGUGCCUAAUACAUGCAAGUCGAGCGAACGGACGAGAAGCUUGCUUCUCUGAUGUUAGCGGCAGACGGGUGAGUAACACGUGGAUAACCUACCUAUAAGACUGGGAUAACUUCGGGAAACCGGAGCUAAUACCGGAUGAUAUUUUGAACCGCAUGGUUCAAAAGUGAAAGACGGUCUUGCUGUCACUGAUAGAUGGAUCCGCGCUGCAUUAGCUAGUUGGUAAGGUAACGGCUUACCAAGGCAACGAUGCAUAGCCGACCUGAGAGGGUGAUCGGCCACACUGGAACUGCGACACGGUCCCGACUCCUACGGGAGGCAGCAGUAGGGAAUCUUCCGCAAUGGGCGAAAGCCUGACGGAGCAACGCCGCGUGGGUGAUGAAGGUCUUCGGAUCGUAAAACUCUGUUAUUAGGGAAGAACAUAUGUGUAAGUAACUGUGCACAUCUUGACGGUACCUAAUCAGAAAGCCACGGCUAACUACGUG